rnacentral:rRNA from 1 species
ACGUAGGGUGCGAGCGUUAAUCGGAAUUACUGGGCGUAAAGCGUGCGCAGGCGGUAAUAUAAGACCGAUGGGAAAUCUCCGGGCUCAACCUGGGAACUGCAUUUGAGACUUUAUGACUAGAGUGUGGCAGAGGGGGGUGGACUUCCACGUGUAGCAGUGACAUUCGUAGAGAUGUGUAGGUACACCGAUUUUUUGGGCAGCCCCCUGGGCCAAUACUGACGCUCAUGCGCGAAAGCGUGGGGAGCAAACAG